UUCCUAAGGUACAUGGUAAAAAAAAAAAGGCAGCGACGUUUAGCAAGGCUAACAGGGUUAGCUCUUAGCUGACAGCUGUUAAACUGUCAAUUUGACAGUUUGAUAGUUAACCAACCGCUAAAGUUAGCUAAAAGCUAACAGUAUGACAGUUAACUGUGAGCUAACAGUAUGACAGUUAACUGUGAGCUAACAGCUAACAGUAUGACAGUUAACUGUGAGCUAACAGUAUGACAGUUAACUGUAAGCUAAAAGCUAACAGUUUCACAGUUAACUGUGAGCUAAUAGUAUGACAGUUAACUGUGAGCUAAGGCUAGGCUAACAGUGUCUAAAAUUUGCAAUUUACAGACAAACAGACUGUGGCCUUCAAAUUAGUUCAAGAACAAGUCAUGAAGCACUUCUACUGACUCAGUUUCCAUGGUUGAGAUGGCUUGGUGUAAAACCUACUGCCACUGGACUCUAAUGCUAUCAUAUAUUGUCUGUGUGUGUGUAUCUUUCUGGGUUUUGUGGAAAACAAUACUUGGCUGACUGUAUGCUGAGUGUAAAGCUUAGUGGAAGGAUGAUUCUGGUGUCAGUCUGUUUUUCGGGGUUUGGGGUUCCCUCCUAGUGCUGCAGCAUACCAAAACAAUUUGUAACAUUUUUAUACUCCUGCCUACGUAGAAACAGUGUUGGAAUGACCGUUCCUGUUCCAAAAUGACUGGAAUGAACCUGGAAUAUUGAAACUGAACCGGAACCAGGAUACAGUGGUUGUUGGUCAGAACAAUCCCAGUUUUAUAUCUGAGAACAGGUCAAUAUUUUGCCAACAGCUGGCCUACAUAAGUAUUUAUCAUUAUGAUCUACCCUCCUAAAUCUGAGAUUUCUCUGGAGUGUGUUCAAGUAAUGGAAAGGUGUGAAUCAUCUCCAAAAGUGACAUAAGAAAGGUUCCUGCUUUCUGCAAAAAGUAAUGAAGGUCCACCUUCUACCUAGAUCCUCCCUGUGAUUUUAUCUCGUGGCAGCUGGUGGACUGCAGACACAUUUGGAGCAAAAGUAGGACAAAGGCUUACUGCCAAGACAAAGACGAUCUCCUGCCCUUCAACCUGAUCCCGCGGUGUUUCCUGCUCCGGGGCGCGGAGCUGUCCACAGGAGCGAGAAGUAAACCGCAGCUACCAGUGGGCUCCAGUAACCUCCAGAGGCCGUCGGAGGGGCUUUCCGAGCGGUGAGAAUCACGAUGAUGAAGACGGCGAUGAGGAAGAGAGCGAGGACGGCGCCCAUCACAG